UUCAAUUAAGUGCUCAACACACUCAAGUCAGUACCGCUGUGCUGUAAAUGAAUGUGAAUAGGAAAUCUAACAUCCCUGCAUUUUAACAAAUGAAUAGAUUGAGGAAAGCAAUCUAUUUAAUCGACCACUUUGAACAUAUAUUGUCAGUGAGUGGAGUGGUGGAUGAUACAGAGAAAUGCCACUCCAGGUGACGUUGGAAUGACUGAAACGCCAAGGUCACAUAGGCCAGACUACCCAAAAGAUCAAAGGUUAAGGGGCGGUGAGAUGUCACAGAUAUAAACAACAAGAGGAUCUAUGGAUAACUGUUCUUCAUGUCCCCUAACACAUGUCUGCUGCACUGCUUUAAGACACCGACGAGCUGAAGGAAGCUUUGAACAUAUAGUGCUUCACUUGCAGAGCAAUGCUUCCAGCUGGGACAGUGUUUAUUGGAGAUCGCCUUUCCUGGUGGAGUGGUACAAUGGAACAAGAGAUGACUGGACCAAAGUGGCAGACUACAGUCCAGCUAUUAGGCUUCAUGUUGUCCUCACUCACUCCAGGAAAAAAAAGCAGCUUUUCAAAAAUAAUACAUUAUGAUUAAUAAGAACAUGAUAAAUACACAACAAUUUGUAACACAAUGCUAUUGUGUUGACAGAAUGUCCGAUUUCUUCUAGGUGUAAAUUGAUAAGGAGUUUGCUAGCAUAAAUGGUUGGUUUUGACACCCCCUCUCACCAUAGUCUCUACCUUAGAUGAGCUUGAUUUGUCUGCAUUGGAAUGAAAUAAAGGGAACGGAGGAAAACAUUCUCUGAACAUGAACACUCUAAGUCUUAUUGAUCCUGCUCUUAAGUAGUGCCUGAUAGGGCUUUGAACUGAGAAGACAGCAAGGUGAACUCCAUAAUACAUCUACUAUAGCUAGGAUACAUCUUUGUGUUUACUCUGCAAUGCUUAAAAGAUUUGUGGGCUAUUUUCAAUAACAUUUCU